UACGUAGGUGGCAAGCGUUGUCCGGAUUUACUGGCGUAAGAGCGCGCAGGCGGUCGUCCAAGUCGCGUGUGAAAGCCCCCGGCUCAACUGGGGAGGGUCACGCGAUACUGGUCGACUCGAAGGCAGGAGAGGGUAGUGGAAUUCCCGGUGUAGUGGUGAAAUGCGUAGAUAUCGGGAGGAACACCAGUGGCGAAGGCGACUACCUGGCCUGUUCUUGACGCUGAGGCGCGAAAGCUAGGGGAGCAAACGGG
rnacentral:rRNA from 1 species